GGGCGCGUAGCUCAGCUGGUUAGAGCGUUCGGUUCACAUCCGAAAGGUCCGGGGUUCGAGUCCCUGCGCGCCCA
rnacentral:tRNA from 1 species